ACAUAUGUUAUAUUUGGGAUUACACUUUCCCAUCCCAUCUGGGAUUCGAACCCACACCCUCAGAGUCAGGCACCUAAUCACCAGCACACAAAGUCAGACGCAGAGACCGCUCAGCCACCCUCGGCAUCC